UCUGUCUACCAAUCCCCCUUCUUUACUCUCCAGAAUCUCCCCACCCGCUGCAAUGCUUGCGCCUUCCUGUGUGCUUACGGGAGGAGAGAUGAAGUCGAAGGUCACAGUCAAAACCUUCUUCUCGCAAAGGCCCCUGUUCCAGCCUGAGAAAGUUGUGGAGGCUGUGAUUCAGGCCAGCUCCAACGAAGACCAUCCCAGAGAAGCCUCUACGAGCUGCUUUUUGAGACAACCUCUCAGUUUGGUGAGCUCACGUCUGCUAACAGCCCCCUUCACACACACACACACACACACACACACACACACACGC